AGAGUUUGAUCCUGGCUCAGGAUAAACGCUGGCGGCGCACAUAAGACAUGCAAGUCGAACGGAAGUCGUUAUAUUCGAUAUAGAUAGGAACAGAGAACUUGUUCGAAGGAAAUUGACAUUGACUUUAUAACAAUGGCUUUAGUGGCGCACGGGUGAGUAACGCGUGGGUGAUCUGCCCUGAUGUUGGGAAUAACAGUUGGAAACGGCUGCUAAUACCGAAUACGCUCCCCUUUCACGAUGGGAGGAAAGACGGCCUCUGCUUGCAAGCUGUCGCAUGAGGAUGAGUCCGCGUCCCAUUAGCUAGUUGGUGAGGUAACGGCCCACCAAGGCGACGAUGGGUAGCCGAUUUGAGAGGAUGAUCGGCCACACUGGAACUGAAACACGGUCCAGACUCCUACGGGAGGCAGCAGUGGGGAAUAUUGCGCAAUGGGCGAAAGCCUGACGCAGCGACGCCGCGUGAGGGAUGAAGGUCUUCGGAUCGUAAACCUCUGUCAGAAGGGAAGAAAGCAGCGGGUGCCAAUCAGCCUGCUGUUGACGGUACCUUCAAAGGAAGCACCGGCUAACUCCGUGCCAGCAGCCGCGGUAAUACGGAGGGUGCAGGCGUUAAUCGGAAUUACUGGGCGUAAAGCGCACGUAGGCUGUUUUGUAAGUCAGGGGUGAAAGCCCACGGCUCAACCGUGGAAUUGCCUUUGAUACUGCGAGACUUGAAUUCGGGAGAGGAUGGCGGAAUUCCAGGUGUAGGAGUGAAAUCCGUAGAUAUCUGGAGGAACAUCAGUGGCGAAGGCGGCCAUCUGGAUCGAUAUUGACGCUGAGGUGCGAAAGCGUGGGGAGCAAACAGGGAUUAGAUACCCUGGUAGUCCACGCUGUAAACGAUGGAUGCUAGAUGUCGGGGAGCGAUUCUUCGGUGUCGUAGUUAACGCGUUAAGCAUCCCCGCCUGGGGAGUACGGUCGCAAGGCUGAAACUCAAAGAAAUUGACGGGGGCCCGCACAAGCGGUGGAGUAUGUGGUUUAAUUCGAUGCAACGCGAAGAACCUUACCUGGGUUUGACAUCUGGAGGAUCCUCUAGAAAUAGGGGAGUGCCCUUCGGGGAAUUCCAAGACAGGUGCUGCAUGGCUGUCGUCAGCUCGUGUCGUGAGAUGUUGGGUUAAGUCCCGCAACGAGCGCAACCCCUGUGCACAGUUGCCAUCAAGUGAAGUUGGGCACUCUGUGCAGACUGCCCGGGUUAACCGGGAGGAAGGUGGGGACGACGUCAAGUCAUCAUGGCCCUUACAUCCAGGGCAACACACGUACUACAAUGGCGCGCACAAAGGGGAGCGAGACCGCGAGGUGGAGCAGAUCCCAAAAAACGCGUCCCAGUCCGGAUUGCAGUCUGCAACUCGACUGCAUGAAGUCGGAAUCGCUAGUAAUUCGAGAUCAGCAUGCUCGGGUGAAUGCGUUCCCGGGCCUUGUACACACCGCCCGUCACACCACGAAAGUCGGUUUUACCCGAUGCCGGUGAGCCAACCCGCAAGGGGAGCAUCCGUUUACGGUAGGGCCGAUGAUUGGGGUGAAGUCGUAACAAGGUA
rnacentral:rRNA from 1 species